AUCCCAUGAUGGGGACACUUUUUGAUAAGAUCCUUGAAUCUCUCCCAAGAUUCAUAGAGACUCAGUGUCGAGGUGAUAAAAAUUAUUAAUCUCCCUUCGCAACUU